AGAGUUUGAUCCUGGCUCAGGAUGAACGCUGGCGGCGUGCUUAACACAUGCAAGUCGAGCGAAGCACUUGAGAAUGAUUCUUCGGAUGACAUCUUUUGUGACUGAGCGGCGGACGGGUGAGUAACGCGUGGGUAACCUGCCUCAUACAGGGGGAUAACAGUUAGAAAUGACUGCUAAUACCGCAUAAGCGCACAGUGCCGCAUGGCACCGUGUGAAAAACUCCGGUGGUAUGAGAUGGACCCGCGUUGGAUUAGGCAGUUGGCGGGGUAACGGCCCACCAAACCGACGAUCCAUAGCCGGCCUGAGAGGGUGGACGGCCACAUUGGGACUGAGACACGGCCCAAACUCCUACGGGAGGCAGCAGUGGGGAAUAUUGCACAAUGGGGGAAACCCUGAUGCAGCGACGCCGCGUGAGUGAAGAAGUAAUUCGUUAUGUAAAGCUCUAUCAGCAGGGAAGAAAAUGACGGUACCUGACUAAGAAGCCCCGGCUAACUACGUGCCAGCAGCCGCGGUAAUACGUAGGGGGCAAGCGUUGUCCGGAAUUACUGGGUGUAAAGGGAGCGCAGGCGGGGGAGCAAGUCAGCUGUGAAAUCUAUGGGCUUAACCCAUAAACUGCAGUUGAAACUGUUCUUCUUGAGUGAAGUAGAGGUUGGCGGAAUUCCGAGUGUAGCGGUGAAAUGCGUAGAUAUUAGGAAGAACACCGGUGGCGAAGGCGGCCAACUGGGCUUUUACUGACGCUGAGGCUCGAAAGUGUGGGGAGCAAACAGGAUUAGAUACCCUGGUAGUCCACACUGUAAACGAUGAUAACUAGGUGUAGGGGGUCUGACCCCUUCUGUGCCGCAGCUAACGCAAUAAGUUAUCCACCUGGGGAGUACGACCGCAAGGUUGAAACUCAAAGGAAUUGACGGGGACCUGCACAAGCGGUGGAGCAUGUGGUUUAAUUCGAAGCAACGCGAAGAACCUUACCAGACCUUGACAUCCCUCUGAAUACGGUGUAAUGACUGUAGGCCUUCGGGGCAGAGGAGACAGGUGGUGCAUGGUUGUCGUCAGCUCGUGUCGUGAGAUGUUGGGUCAAGUCCCGCAACGAGCGCAACCCUUGUCCAUAGUAGCCAGCAGUAAGAUGGGAACUCUAUGGAGACUGCCGGGGAUAACCCGGAGGAAGGUGGGGAUGACGUCAAAUCAUCAUGCCCCUUACGGUCUGGGCUACACACGUGCUACAAUGGCGUAACAAAGGGAAGCGAGCCUGCGAAGGUAAGCAAACCCCAAAAAUAACGUCCCAGUUCGGACUGCAGUCUGCAACUCGACUGCACGAAGCUGGAAUCGCUAGUAAUCACGGAUCAGAAUGCCGCGGUGAAUACGUUCCCGG
rnacentral:rRNA from 1 species